CUUGGGAUAUAGCUCAGUUGGUAGAGUGCUUGCCUCACAUGUACAAGGUCCUGGGUUCAAUCCCCAGCAUCAAGG
rnacentral:tRNA from 1 species